rnacentral:rRNA from 1 species
UACGAAGGGGGCGAGCGUUGUUCGGAAUUACUGGGCGUAAAGGGCGCGCAGGCGGCCCUUGAAGUCAGGCGUGAAAGCCCCGGGCUCAACCUGGGAGGUGCGCUUGAUACUCGAGGGCUUGAGUCCGGGAGAGGUGAGUGGAACUGCGAGUGUAGAGGUGAAAUUCGUAGAUAUUCGCAAGAACACCAGUGGCGAAGGCGGCUCACUGGCCCGGUACUGACGCUGAGGUGCGAAAGCGUGGGGGAGCAAACAGG